rnacentral:misc_RNA from 1 species
AUUGAUUGCAACUUGAGGGCGACGACGGAUGCUGCGUUUGCGUCCCGUUGGUUGUCGUCCAAAGUUUGCUUCUUUUCGAAAGCAAUGAAAAUGUCUCCCCUGCCGAUGCUGCGGCAGGAGACUGCUUGUCGUCAUUUCUGGCUUCAAGCAUUCAUUGCAACGCAUGAUCUCCAGAUCUCGUGCGCCAGUGGUCGGAUGCGCAAAACGCGGCAUGCGCUUCCACCGAGGAGCAAUGAUGCACACUUUAAACUCCGGUACCUGUACCGCUUGGGCAUGGCAGUUUGGAUCUGGCUGUCGAUUGAUGCCGCCGGUUGUAGCGUCUGAAUUGCCGCACUAGCCUGCGUUUGGCUGUUUCGGCGGCUCCAUUCAGAGCGCGAGGUUCAAAGAACGGUCGCUUUUGACGGUCGCCGGAUGGUCGUCCAUGCGUUUUGGACAUUUACGAAAAACUGUUCGAACGAACAUAGAAAUUCGGUU